rnacentral:rRNA from 1 species
AACGAACGCUGGCGGCAUGCCUAACACAUGCAAGUCGAACGAGACCUUCGGGGCUAGUGGCGCACGGGUGCGUAACGCGUGGGAACCUGCCCUUAGGUUCGGAAUAACUCCCCGAAAGGGGUGCUAAUACCGGAUAAUGUCUUCGGACCAAAGAUUUAUCGCCUUUGGAUGGGCCCGCGUUGGAUUAGCUAGUUGGUAGGGUAAAAGCCUACCAAGGCGACGAUCCAUAGCUGGUCUGAGAGGAUGAUCAGCCACACUGGGACUGAGACACGGCCCAGACUCCUACGCGAGGCAGCAGUGGGGAAUAUUGGACGAGGGGCGAAAGCCUGGUCCAGCAAUGCCGCGUGAGUGAUGAAGGCCUUAGGGUUGUAAAGCUCUUUUACCCGGGAUGAUAAUGACAGUACCGGGAGAAUAAGCUCCGGCUAACUCCGUG